AAGCUGGUUAGGUACCAAAAUAGCAUAAACUCAGGUAUGAAGUGCUGUGUUGUCUAUCCCUCUGCUCAAAAUAAUGUUGUUUCUUACCUAGUUUUGUUUCUUGCCUAUACACUAACAGCAGUAAGAGACACUUGGUCUCAUGCAU
ensembl:snoRNA SNORA63 Small nucleolar RNA SNORA63